AUGAUCCACAAAACAGAUUUCUGUAAGAAGAAUGUUUGGACCAAUGAGAAAGAAUAUCAUACCUCAGUUGCUAUCCUUCCAUUGUUACCUUCAAAAGUAAAAAGUUCUGAGCACAGGACUGAGGGAGCGUCUGAAACUGGCUCUGGAAAAGAGCUGACAUUCACUCAAAGUUUCAAAAUCACAACAUACACCAUUAAGCGAUGGAAGCUGUACAUCUCACAAGACCCUGGCGAACUCUGCAAACCACAUUCUGAACAGUUGGUGAGAGGUGGCCACGGGGGAGGGGCCAGCUUCCUGUGCUUUGACAGAUGAGCAGAAGCCAGAGUUAAAAUCUGACUUGUUUGCAAGGAUUCCAAAACCAGAUCCAAAUCAUCUCUCAGAAUCUUUUCAGAAAUCAGAGUCUUUCAAGUAGCAUCAAGCAAGGCUGCAUGAUUCUGGUAAGUCUCACUUGGGGUCUAAGGAGUACAUGACCAACGCAAGCUCUUCAUAGAAUGCAGAACCUGCUAAAUCCAAACCUAAAUAUUUCAUAAUAAAAUGUCAACCUUCCAAAUUACGUUCUGCAUGAACAAACAAGCCUGGAAAACAUUGAAACAACAGUGCAGUAGGUGGAAACAGAUGUCACCGUUUAUUUUUAAAAUUAGUUUAUUCAACAACUGAAUGGGAUAUGUUGCUUAUUCUACACAACACUUUAGGAUCUGAGUAGUUUACCUGUUGUUAAAAAAAUAC
rnacentral:lncRNA from 1 species